GAUGAACGCUGGCGGCAUGCUUUACACAUGCAAGUCGGACGGGAAGUGGUGUUUCCCGUGGCGGACGGGUGAGUAACGCGUAAGAACCUGCCCUUGGGAGGGGAACAACAGCUGGAAACGGCUGCUAAUACCCCGUAGGCUGAGGAGCGAAAGGAGGAAUCCGCCCAAGGAGGGGCUCGCGUCUGAUUAGCUAGUUGGUGAGGUAAUAGCUUACCAAGGCCGUGAUCAGUAGCUGGUCCGAGAGGAUGAUCAGCCACACUGGGACUGAGACAAGGCCCAGACUCCUACGGGAGGCAGCAGUGGGGAAUUUUCCGCAAUGGGCGAAAGCCUGACGGAGCAAUGCCGCGUGGAGGUAAAAGGCCUACGGGUCAUGAACUUCUUUUCCUGGAGAAGAAACAAUGACGGUAUCUGGGGAAUAAGUAUCGGCUAACUCUGUG
rnacentral:rRNA from 1 species